rnacentral:antisense_RNA from 1 species
UUUGACAUUAUUUUCAUGUAUUCAAUGCAAUCAAAAAAGAAUCCACAGCUAACCAUCUGUCCUGGGUGGCAUGAGAACCAUGAGCUGAGGAUUGGACAAGCUUGCUCUACAAUAUUCAAAGGCCACAGAUCAGCCCUGGGGUUCAGAGGGAUCCUGACGGCUACUCCUCAAGAUCCUCUCUGUUGUGAUUCAUCCCCCCCAGGCCCUACAGUUUCUCCUUCCUGACUCUUACAUUUCUUUGGAUGGCAUCACUAUUUACCUGUCUCCUCCCAUAGUUAGUUGCCAAGCACUGUGGAUUCUACCCCUCAGGGUCCAGACACCCAUUUUCCUUCCCACUGUUCCCUCCCCAUGGAGAAGCCUGUGGCUGACUGACAGCUCAACUUGGAGAAGGUGUUACCUGGGCCAGGUGGGGAAGGUAGGGUUGUUUGCAGAGCAAAGAAGUGAAGGAAGUAUUAACCCUUUGCAUGGCCUCCUGAGAAUCUGACAAGACGUAAAUAGCCAAGAAUAUCUGUGGAACUUAAUCAGUGAGUUACAAUAUUUAUCACUGCAAGUGUGUUGUUCAUUGACACUAUAAAGCCAUAUGGAAUUAAGCAGCCUUGAAACACAAAAUGGAGAAAGGCUAAGAGCUGAGAAUUGUUGCCUUCAGGGAAAUAUAAUCAAUGUCAAGCAAACAACCACCCC